CCGGCGACCGGCGCACGGGUGAGUAACACGUAUGCAACCUGCCCCUGUCAGGGGGACAACCCGCCGAAAGGCGGGCUAAUACCCCGUGACGCCACCGGAGGGCAUCCUCCGGUGGCCAAAGGAGCGAUCCGGUGGCGGAUGGGCAUGCGGCGCAUUAGCUAGACGGCGGGGUGACGGCCCACCGUGGCGACGAUGCGUAGGGGUUCUGAGAGGAAGGCCCCCCACACUGGGACUGAGACACGGCCCAGACUCCUACGGAAGGCAGCAG
rnacentral:rRNA from 1 species